AUUGAACGCUGGCGGCAGGCCUAACACAUGCAAGUCGAGCGGAUGAAGGGAGCUUGCUCCUGGAUUCAGCGGCGGACGGGUGAGUAAUGCCUAGGAAUCUGCCUGGUAGUGGGGGAUAACGUCCGGAAACGGGCGCUAAUACCGCAUACGUCUUGAGGGAGAAAGUGGGGGAUCUUCGGACCUCACGCUAUCAGAUGAGCCUAGGUCGGAUUAGCUAGUUGGUGGGGUAAAGGCCUACCAAGGCGACGAUCCGUAACUGGUCUGAGAGGAUGAUCAGUCACACUGGAACUGAGACACGGUCCAGACUCCUACGGGAGGCAGCAGUGGGGAAUAUUGGACAAUGGGCGAAAGCCUGAUCCAGCCAUGCCGCGUGUGUGAAGAAGGUCUUCGGAUUGUAAAGCACUUUAAGCUGGGAGGAAGGGCAGUAAGUUAAUACCUUGCUGUUUUGACGUUACCAACAGAAUAAGCACCGGCUAACUUCGUG
rnacentral:rRNA from 1 species